GGUGACGUGGCCGAGAGGCGAGGCAGCGGCCUGCAAAGCCGCGUACACGGGUUCGAAUCCCGUCGUCACCU
rnacentral:tRNA from 1 species